rnacentral:rRNA from 1 species
UACGUAGGCAGCAAGCGUUGUUCGGAGUUACUGGGCGUAAAGGGUGCGUAGGCGGCUUUUUAAGUCUGGUGUGAAAUCUCCCGGCUCAACUGGGAGGGUGCGCCGGAUACUGAGGGGCUAGAGUGUGGGAGAGGAAAGUGGAAUUCCUGGUGUAGCGGUGAAAUGCGUAGAUAUCAGGAGGAACACCGGUGGUGUAGACGGCUUUCUGGACCGUAACUGACGCUGAGACACGAAAGCGUGGGUAGCAAACAGG